AAUCGAAUCUUCGUCCCUUUGUCGAUUCUUCAUCUCCUUUGUCGAUUCCUAAUUUUUGCUCUUCCUCUUCUUUGAUCCGUUUCAUGAUCUGACCCUAAACAAUCAAUACAACUCCACUUCGUUCUCUCUUUACUCUCAUUUAUGGAUUCGUUUUGCUUUUCUCCUUCAGAUUUUGUUUAUAUAACUCUUAAUCCGCAUUUUCUCCUUCUUUUGUUUAUACAACUCUUGAUACGAGUCUUAUUCCGAUUAAGCUUUGUUGCAAUGAGUUCCAACGGAAGUUCCAUCUCCGAGAAACCAAAAGGCGUUGAGUCUGACUCCUCUCCCGGACCGAUCAAACCCAUCGGAACACCCCAUGUCUCAUCCAACCACUCAAUAGGCGAUCUCCACUCGAAGCGAGACAAAGGCGAAGCGUCGGUCACUUCCGGUCUGACCAAACUCAGCGGCAAAACUACUGUCUCUUCCGGCGUCUUGAUCGGCGUACCUAUGUCGAAGAACCCCAAUGGUAAGAACCCUUAUCGUUUCAUUAUGAGAUUAUAGUGUCCGUCUGAUUACCAGUAUAAAAAAUAGAGAAUCUGAAGCUAUGAGGUUUAAAACAAUGAGAUGAGCAAAAUAAUUGUUUUUAGUAGAUAAUUUUUAUACUAGAGUAAAUAGAAACGCAUGUGAAAUUGUGGAUUUUUAGUUCCCUUUUUUAAUGAUGGUAACGUUCGUAUUCCUAUGCAGGUGCGAUCAUUCACAGCACGAAGGCUGGUGUCUCCUCAGGUGUUAGAGGCAAAUCUGCUGUCUCUUCCCGCGUCAGGGGAAAAGCUAUUGUCUCGGCCGAAGUGGUGGCUUUCAAAGAUGUGAAAUACGGACCUCAUGACGGCGAGUUGAGGUUCCGGUUGAUCCAUUUUUGGGAAGCUCGAAAUAUUGUGUCAAAGGUGCUUAUCGGUCUCGAGAUGCUUCUCAUCGACCAAGAGGUAUAACCCAAAAUCUUGCUUACAGUUUAGUUUAGAAAUUGAAACUUAUCGUUCUAGACUUUACUUUGGCAGAGACUUUAUGAUUAGAAAAUAAUUUAUGAUUUUGGUUUCUUGGUCUCACUUUGGCAGUUUAGUUUUGCUAAUAAAAAAAGAGAACAUAUUCCAUUAAAACUUUGACUGAUGAACAUUUUAGAUAAUUUAUAGCAAGUGUUUGCUUUUAUUGAUAGUACAGUAACUAUAAUUUUUUUGUUGAUGCGUUUCUAUGAUUUCCUGUCUAGCAUUUCUGAUUUAAUUUCUUUACUGAUGAUAACAGGAGACUGUCAUCCAGGGUUUCAUCCCAGCUGGGAGGAUAGACACUUAUUUGCCACACAUGAGAGCUGGUGGCCUUUACAGACUCAACAGUUUUUUCGGUUCUCACAACAAGAAUUUGUAUCGUGUUGCGGAACCAAGUUUCACCAUCACAUUCUCAUCGACUUCUGACCUCUCUAAUCUAACGGACAGUCCGGUUUGUUUCCUUGAGGACCGGUUCCGGAUCCAUGGAUAUGAGGAGUUCGAUGCUGCCUGCGACUUGAGAGGGGAUCUUUAUGAUUAUGUUGGCCACAUCAAGCUUGUGAAUGGACAGGUUCUAAGUGAUAGUCUCAUGCUAGAUGAUGCCGAGAUGGCUUCAUCACGCCGCGUCUUGCUCCAUGUUCAAACACAUGAGUAAGCUAAUCUAUUUUUUUUCAUAUUCAUAUGUUGUCUCUCUUAACACAUGUGUUUUGUAUGUUAUAGUGGUCCGGUGAUGAAGUUGUACCUAUGGGACAAGGCUGCCUCAGAUUUUAGUGAGAAAUUUAAAGCAUCUGGAGGAACCGCACGUGUUGUUUUGGUCACUACUUUAAACCCGAAACGAUUUGGAGGUCCGUAUUAUCAACCUUUUUAAUUUUUAAGCAGGACACAGGAUGGUCAAGGAGUCUUAUCUGGUUAGGUUAGUUUUGGUAGUAGAGCUGCUUUUGGACAUAUACAUAUACAUAUGAGUAACCUAUAGGUUCCGAGAUAGCAAAUAUUAGACAUAUAUAUAUUUCUACAUCUCAUUUACAUUAUAACUUUGCAUAUGUAUUAUAACAAUGGAUCUGUUAUAGGUGCCCUCGCUCUCUCCUCUAUGACGCCAUCACGUGUUUUCUUGGACAAAGAUGUUCAAACAACCGAAGAGUAUCUCACUUGGUAAGCAUUCUAUAUUUAAAUUUUGGCCGUUGUAUUCCACAUUGUAUUUGAUGUUUGGGUGUUGGCUUCAGGAUGAACGCGAACUUAUCUGUUGCCAACAGAGUUAACGCAGACGUUGUCACUAAGACUGAGACAAUGACCAUAGGCGAGCUCUUAUUCUAUAUUCAGCAGGAAGAUGCCAAGGUUAUACAAUAUCAAUGAUUAACGCCUUCAAUAUGAUAGUCUUAAUCUCUUAAUUAAUUGUUUCGCAUCUUGCAGGUUGCUUGGUUUGAGUGCAUAGCAACCAUUGCUGAUGUUGUGCACGGUUCAUCCUGGUAUUACAUAGGCUGUGGUGUGUGCCACACUAAGGCAACCAAAGGGCCUACCACCCUUAUGUGUAAAAAAUGUGGGAAACCCGACAUUGUUGGUGUUCCACAGUAAGUGACUCAGCUGUACUUAUUCUUAUACUUUAAUGCACUCAUUAUAACUCUGCACAUGACACAGGUACCUGGCCAAGAUCUAUGUGUAUGAUAAUGAGGAUCAGGCGUCUUUUGUGCUCCUCGGUGAUGCUGGACAUGAGUUAUCCGGAAGAAAAGCUUCAGAGUUGGUUGCAAGUUAUUUCGAGGUAAUUACAACCCUGUGUGCUUAUGUUAUUUGAAUCUAUAUUCUCCAAGAUAGCUAGAUAUAUAUAGUGACAGUUGUUUAAUGUAUAUUAGGCUAAUGAGAAUGUAGAAGAUGACCACUUGGUUCCGGUACCUCAGGCUCUUAUCGAUACCAUUGGACAGACUCGAAAAUUCAUUGUGAAAGUAUCAUAUCACAAUUUGACAGGCAAGACCCAAGCUUUGACUGUGACAAAGGUUCUCACCCCAGAAGAUCAAGAAGCUGAAGCCCAAGGAACUCUGCAGAAUGGAAUUGCUGAUGGUGAUCCUUCCACAUGCGUUGGGAUAGUGAAGAGGGCUGCUGAUAAGGUCGAGGCAGAAGACCCCAAGCGAGCCAGAUGUGGCUAGGAUGUGUUGAAUCGUGGUUUUAUGAUUACUAAGACUCUAUGCUUUGUUUUUUUUUAAUCUCAGACUUUGUGUUUGCAACAUUGAACUAUCUUUCUUAUUGUCUCUGCAUAAUGUUUUUUACCUUAAGUUUGAUGUUUGAGUAUCUUAGUUUUGUUGGAUUUGAAGCUUUUACGAAUUUGGUUGUUUUAA